AUUUAUAUAGUAUAAUUAUUAUUAUGUUUGACUUCCAAUCAAGAGAACUAUUAAAUAGUAUAAAUA
rnacentral:tRNA from 1 species